rnacentral:rRNA from 1 species
AGAGUUUGAUCCUGGCUCAGAACGAACGCUGGCGGCAGGCCUAACACAUGCAAGUCGAACGAUGCCUUCGGGCAUAGUGGCGCACGGGUGAGUAACACGUGGGAACAUACCUUUUGGUGGGGGAUAACUUCGGGAAACUGAAGCUAAUACCGCAUACGCCCCUUGGGGGAAAGAUUUAUCGCCGAAAGAUUGGCCCGCGUCCGAUUAGCUAGUUGGUGAGGUAAUGGCUCACCAAGGCUCCGAUCGGUAGCUGGUCUGAGAGGAUGACCAGCCACACUGGGACUGAGACACGGCCCAGACUCCUACGGGAGGCAGCAGUGGGGAAUAUUGGACAAUGGGCGCAAGCCUGAUCCAGCCAUGCCGCGUGAGUGAUGAAGGCCUUAGGGUUGUAAAGCUCUUCACCCACGACGAUGAUGACGGUAGUGAGAA